rnacentral:rRNA from 1 species
ACGGAAGGCAGCAGCUAAGAAUAUUCCGCAAUGGACGAAAGUCUGACGGAGCGACGCCGCGUGGAUGAUGAAGGCCGCAAGGUUGUAAAGUCCUUUUGAACUGGAAGAAUAAGCAGUGUAGGAAAUGACAUUGUGGUGACGGUACAGUUUGAAUAAGCAACGGCUAAUUACGUGCCAGCAGCCGCGGUAACACGUAAGUUGCGAGCGUUGUUCGGAAUUAUUGGGCGUAAAGGGCAUGUAGGCGGUUAUCUAAGCUUGGUGUGAAAUGCAGGGGCUCAACUCCUGGACUGCAUUGAGAACUGGAUGACUAGAGUUACUGAAGUGGAAUCAGAAUUCCAGGUGUAGGGGUGAAGUCUGUAGAUAUCUGGAAGAAUACCAAUGGCGAAGGCAGGUUUCAGGCAGAUAACUGACGCUGAGGUGCGAAGGUGCGGGGAGCAAACAGGAUUAGAUACCCUGGUA